rnacentral:rRNA from 1 species
AUUGAACGCUGGCGGCAGGCCUAACACAUGCAAGUCGAACGAGUGGCGGAAGGGUGAGUAAUGUCUGGGAAACUGCCUGAUGGAGGGGGAUAACUACUGGAAACGGUAGCUAAUACCGCAUACCAUCGGAUGUGCCCAGAUGGGCGUGGCUAUUAGUUUGGGUAAAGGCUCACCUAGGCGACGAUCCCUAGCUUGUCUGAGAGGAUGACCAGCCAGACUGGAACUGGGACACGGUCCAGACUCCUACGGGAGGCAGCAGUGGGGAAGAUUGCACAAUUGGCGCAAGCCUGAUACAGCCAUGCCGCGUGUAUGAAGAAGGCCUUCGGUUUGUAAAGUACUUUCAGCGGGUAGGCGUUACCCGCAGAAGAAGCACCGGCUAACUCCGUGCCAGCAGCCGCGGUAAUUC